rnacentral:rRNA from 1 species
GUCUGACGGAGCAACGCCGCGUGAACGAAGAAGGUCUUCGGAUUGUAAAGUUCUGUGAUUCGGGACGAAAGGUUUGUGGUGAAUAAUCAUAGACAUUGACGGUACCGAAAAAGCAAGCCACGGCUAACUACGUGCCAGCAGCCGCGGUAAUACGUAGGUGGCAAGCGUUGUCCGGAAUUACUGGGCGUAAAGCGCGCGCAGGCGGUUUCUUAAGUCCAUCUUAAAAGCGUGGGGCUCAACCCCAUGAGGGGAUGGAAACUGGGAAGCUGGAGUAUCGGAGAGGAAAGUGGAAUUCCUAGUGUAGCGGUGAAAUGCGUAGAGAUUAGGAAGAACACCGGUGGCGAAGGCGACUUUCUAGACGAAAACUGACGCUGAGGCGCGAAAGCGUGGGGAGCAAACAGGAUUAGAUACCCUGGUAGUCCACGCCGUAAACGAUGGAUACUAGGUGUAGGAGGUAUCGACCCCUCCUGUGCCGGAGUUAACGCAAUAAGUAUCCCGCCUGGGAAGUACGAUCGCAAGAUUAAAACUCAAAGGAAUUGACGGGGCCCGCACAAGCGGUGGAGUAUGUGGUUUAAUUCGACGCAACGCGAGAACCU